AAUUAAACAACUUUACAUAAAGACUUUAAAAAAUUAUAAUCAUGUAAAUGUACACUUACCUUCUCCAUGUAAAAUUUUGUGGAUGUUAACUAUCAAUUUAAUUGUGAAAAUAUUUCGUUUUUAUUAGCCUAAAAAGCUUUUAUCAUUGACGACAAAACUACAUACCCAACAAUUUUUAAAAGAAUAAAUUAAUAUAAAGAUAUUUAUUUAUAUUUAAAGUUUCAGGAGGAUUAAAGUCAUAUAUUUAAUCUUCGUUAACUUGAAAUAGAUAAUGUGAAUUUACCAGUCACUUCAAAAAAAUUGAAAUUUUAGAUUUUCAACAAGUAUGUGUUAUGUAUUACAAUUUUAGUGGCUUAAUUACAGGAAUAUAAUAAAAGAUUUGGUUGAAAACACUUAGAAUGAAUCUAAUGGACUUGAAAUUGGACAACAACCUGCUAUUUUCUAAAGUGGUAAGACUUAUGUGGUAACCAAAAUAAAUUAAUUUUACUUGAUACAUAAAAUUAAUUUUAUUUAAAAUUAGUUCAAUGGAAUAAAUUAAUCACUUAGAGCAAUAUUAUAAUACUUUAGAGAAGAAAUUUUAUAUAACUCUUGUAGGCAAAUUACUGUUUUAAUUAGUAAUUUAAUAAAUAAAAAAAUAAUUUAAUAAUUUAAAUAAUAAAUAACUCUCUUGAUGUAAUCAAACAAUUCUAGGGGGUGGCACUAGAAUUUUAAAAGUUUAUAAUUAACGGCCACUCUAACUGACACUAAAUAGUAUCUCCGAAAUCUACUAUGGUAACGUUGUCAUUUUUAGUAGCUAAUAAAUAUCACAAAUAUUUUACUGUUUAAGAUAUUUUAUUUAUUUUUUGCAGAUUAUUAUUUAAAAGUAACAAAAAUUCAUAAGUAGGCAGUUAGGAGAUACCAAUUCAAUGCUUAUAAAAGAGUACUGAACAGAACAAUAAAUGACUGACUGAAGAGACUUCCAUUCUACUAGAGUAAUGCUGUCAAUUUUAAUAGCUAAUAAAUAUUAAAAAUAUUUUACAA